GACUUCUGAGACUUGCGUUUAUGAUUCGAAGAGUGAAAACGGAUACCAGUCAACUACAUACACACGCGUUUGUUUAUUCCUUUGUGUGUUGGAAAUUAUUGAUGGUCCUUCUGUCACUGUCCGUAAUUUAGCGAUUUGCCAAGCAAGCAGCAGAUGGAGUAGAGCAGACCUCUUUUCUCGACUGCAGUGGCUUGGCAAUGGAUGCCCUAAUAAGAAGAUUGACUUGACUUUUUAAUGCGAUUCCGUGUAUCACACAACUUACAAGACAAUAUGUUUCAUUAUAUAUCUAUGAUCAUAUUUAGGAUACAUGUUAAUGACCAUUGUAAGAUUGUGUGUAACAUACAAGACUUGGGCCACUUGCAUCAAGGUCAAGUUCAGAUAUAGAAUUCAGCUGCAUACAGUCUACCACAUAGCUAAUAAACCCUAUGAAAGGAGCUGUCGGUAUUUCCAUGGUGCAGCUAUCACCAGUUUCAAAAUGGAAACAGAUGGUGAGUCUCAAGCGAAAAAGAAAAGUGGACCUCUCCUAACAACUUAAAAGGAGAACAUUAUCUUGCAUAGCAUUUUUCUCCGAAGGGAUUGAUUCAAACAAGCACAUUGUGACAAGUAUCCCACUGAAGGCAAGUUCUACAACAAGGAGACGGACUCCACCAAUAUAUCGACGUUCAAAAAGGGCUUAAAUUUGUUUACCGAUCAAAACUAUGCCAUAAGACAUGAAUCACCCUCCAAUUAAAACAAAACAUAUGGAGAAGUCAGUCACUUUCAAAUCAAGUAACAAUUUAAGAUAUGAGACGAUUCUAAUGACGACAAUGAAUAUGGAGAAGUAUAAUGUACUUGAAAAUGUUUAAUGGAAAAAGAGGAAUGUGAAACUUUUUUGUAUUUAUUUGGUUCUCAUGAAGGCUUUGUCAUUGAUAAGGCAGAUAAGUUGAUUUAUUUCUUUGUUUUCAACAAAGAGAAAAGUUGAAAAGAAAAGCAUUUUAGGAGUACUAAAAGAUGUUAUAGAAAUAUUUGAGAUAGAAUGUAAAAACUGGCCCUUCUUAGGGUCUGCUAAUUUAGGGCUAAAAUAAAAUAAAAACAUAUAAUUGA
rnacentral:lncRNA from 1 species